UGAAGGUUUCCUGCAUGUGCCCUUAUUGCUCGGGAGGAUGUUAUCAAUCCGAAGGUUAACAGAUUUAUACACGUAGCACGGGGGCCUUGGCAGCGCUGGGCGCUAACCGGUUACAAACGCAGACGGCCGGACGAGGCGUGGCGUACUGGGGGGGUUUCAUCCAGCGCCCGCCCGGGAGAGAAGCACGAGGCCGGCCCCGGAGCUGACUCCAGUUCCCGCGGACCCUGAUUGGGCCAAAGUCACACGGGAGGAGCUGGCAGAGCGGCCGCGGAGGAUGUGCGGGGCGGAGGGGAUUACUGGACAGAUGGCAGAAUCGGAGGGAGCAGAAACAGGCCCGCUGGCUGAGAGUAAUCUGGCCACCCUGGGCACUGAAGCUCCUGUAUACAGAACAGCAAGGAGGGUUUAAAGAAACAGAUAAUGAAAGAGAAGAGGGCAAUCCGUGUAGGUGGGAGGCUAGCAGCCCCCCGAGCCCAGAAGACCCCUAGAGGCAAGACGCUGGUCUGCAUAAGAGGAUCCUUUCAUUAUGUCAAUUUAUGCUUUAACGAAGUUGCUCAUUUAUGCAACUAUAACGAGAAAUGAGAGCUGAGUGCUCAGAUAUAUCUCUUAAUGCUGAAGAGGUUGAUUUCAAAAC